UCUACGGGAGGCAGCAGUGGGGAAUCUUAGACAAUGGGGGGAACCCUGAUCUAGCCAUGCCGCGUGAGCGAUGAAGGCCUUAGGGUUGUAAAGCUCUUUCAGCUGGGAAGAUAAUGACGGUACCAGCAGAAGAAGCCCCGGCUAACUCCGUGCCAGCAGCCGCGGUAAUA
rnacentral:rRNA from 1 species